rnacentral:rRNA from 1 species
UACGUAGGGGGCAAGCGUUGUCCGGAAUCAUUGGGCGUAAAGAGCGUGUAGGCGGUCCGGUCAGUCGGUUGUGAAAGUCAAGGGCUCAACCCUUGAAUGCCGGCCGAUACUGCCGGGCUAGAGUCCGGAAGAGGUGAGUGGAAUUCCUGGUGUAGCGGUGAAAUGCGCAGAUAUCAGGAGGAAGACCGAUGGCGAAGGCGGGUCUCUGGGCAGUAACUGACGCUGAGGAGCGAAAGCGUGGGGAGCGAACAGG